AACGAACGCUGGCGGCAUGCCUAACACAUGCAAGUCGAACGAGACCUUCGGGUCUAGUGGCGCACGUGUGCGUAACGCGUGGGAACCUGCCCUUAGGUACCGAAUAACUCCCCGAAAGGGGAGCUCAUACAGGAGAAUGUCUUCGGACAAAGGAUUUCUCGCCUUUGGAUGGGCGCGGAAUGGAUUAGCUAGUUGGUAGGGUAAAAGCCUGCCAAGGCGACGAUCCAUAGCUGGUCUGAGAGAAUGAACAGCCACACUGGGACUGAGACACGGACCAGACUCGUACGGGAGGCAGCAGAGUGUAAUAUAGGAGACUGGGCCACAGCCUGAUACAGCAAUGCUGCGUAAGUUAAGAAGCCCUUAGAGAUGUAAAGCUCUUUUAGCCGAGAUGAUAAUGACGGUAGCGGGAAAAUAAGCACCGGCUAACUCCGUG
rnacentral:rRNA from 1 species